rnacentral:rRNA from 1 species
GACGAACGCUGGCGGCGUGCUUAACACAUGCAAGUCGAACGGAAAGGCCCCUUCGGGGGUACUCGAGUGGCGAACAGGUGCGUAACACGUGAGUAACCUGCCCUUGACUUCGGGAUAACUUCAGGAAACUGGGGCUAAUACCGGAUAGGAAUCCUUGCUGCAUGGUGGGGGUUGGAAAGCUUCGGCGGUUUUGGAUGGACUCGCGGCUUAUCAGCUUGUUGGUGGGGUAGUGGCUUACCAAGGCUUUGACGGGUAGCCGGCCUGAGAGGGCGACCGGCCACAUUGGGACUGAGAUACGGCCCAGACUCCUACGGGAGGCAGCAGUGGGGAAUAUUGCACAAUGGGCGGAAGCCUGAUGCAGCAACGCCGCGUGCGGGAUGACGGCCUUCGGGUUGUAAACCGCUUUCAGCAGGGGCGAAGCUUGUGGUGACGGUACCUGCAGAAGAAGCACCGGCUAACUACGUG